GUAGCACAGAGCUGCAGUCAGUGGAGCAUGACAGAGUUGUCACGGUCUGAACAGCUUUCAGUCCAUUUGUUUCCCACUUAGUUUGAAGUUAAGCAACAGGCCUCCAAGAAUAACAAUUUCUGGGUUUCGGGUGGCGAGUCCUGGUGGCUUUGAGCGCCUUAGCGCUUUACCUUUCCCUCCAUCUCCUCUCCCUGUAUUGAAAUGUAAGCAGGUGUACCUGGCAGGUUUCCGGACAGGUGUAACAAAAACUUGUUUUCAUCGGCUACGCGGCAUAUUUCUAAUGCCUUUGUGCCCAUACCCGGGGUACAUUAUACCCGGUCUGAAAGACUCUUUCGUCAGCCAGCUUCUCCACCUUGCGCUUGCCAGGGUCGCCAGGACAGCUUGUCGGAGGGGGACACCGCGCUCCACAAAAGGUCCUGAAAACUCUCGCACAAAGCCCCCUCAUCAGCAGGCUUCAGCUCUGUAGAGGGUUCUUGUGCUCCCACUGUGAAGUUUCCCUUCCCUAGACCUCACUGUCACACUUCUCUGUCGCCCCCUCUCUCUCUCCUCCUCACACAAAUCUCGGCCAUACAGGCUUUCCAUUACGAGGCUGCCGCCGUUCUUUCUCCCUUAGAGUCAGCUUUUCUUCCCUCAGCCCCAUUCUUUCUUUUCUCUCCCUCUACGUUCUUUGAAUCUUUUCUUCCCACCAUUUUCUCUCUUUUUUUAUUUUCUGUGUGUGUAGCUCUCUCUCUCUCUUCCCCUGAAGCUGGAACUAAGACUGUUGUGGCGUAUAAUUCCCAGCGCUCGAUACGCUGAGAGAGACUGGUGCUUGCUGCAGCUCUGCAAUAGAUGCGCUGUGCCCGGCAAAUGAAGCUAGGCCACAGAUAAUGGUCUUUUCUCCUUCUUAUAAAAGGCCGAAUCCGUUUUCAUAACCCAGCAUCGACCCGGCCGACUUGAAGUUGAGAUUCUUUGCCUGGUGGCGGUGCCAGGCAGAAGUGGGGAAUGCGGCGCUGGAGGUAACAGCCUGUAUGUGGACAGACCUUGUGUGGACCCUGAUGGCGUGGCAGUCCUCCACCUCGCCCUGUAGGGCCCAGCUGCCUUGUGUACGUGUGUGAGGGUGUCAGGCGGGUGGCUACCCAGCCUGGUGACCAGGGGAUAAGCUGGGUCUCUCCGCCAUGUCCAAAGAUGUUCUCGCAGUCUGUCUUGCUGCCUCGUCAAUGCGCAUGUCUGCGGUUUUGCUCCCUUGCGGCGCCCAUGACGGUGUGUAUGACGUAAUCAGUGCGUUAACAGAGAGCUGGUGACGCAGUGAGUGAAAUGCUUGCGUCAAGCAGCGUGGUGACGUCACAGAGUCCGAGAGUGCCAAGCGCAUGUCAGUGCGGAAGUCACGAGUUCUUGGCUGCAGUUGCUCUUUAUUCGGAGACAUCAACAUGGCAACGGAGAGGUCACUGCAAAUGUCGCUUGAUUGUCUGGAUGCAAGUAGCUGUGCAGCAGACCGGAAACUAGAGCACACGUGACGACAGCUGUGCAGCCCUGCUUCCCUGCAGUUGUUGUAGGUCCGGAAGUCAACCAGUGCAACCUCCAGGAGCACCGCCACCCCUAUAUUCCAUUGUCCCAGUGACCAUCAUGCCUACCCGCUACACUACCUCCAGGUGAACUGAAGGAGGUACUGAUGUAACAGUCUGAUGUGGGUGUCACGUGUGAAGAGCUGGCCAUGAACCCUAACCCUAAGCACUGCACCGAUUGGUUUAUUAUUUCCCAAGCUUCUUCGGGAUUUUUUCUGAUGUUCUUCGGGUCUCAUUGCAAAGUGAGAAUGGCCGACUGCUUUCUCUUGUUUACUUUUACCAUAAAUAGGAAACAAUAAACUUCCGGUGCUCCAGAACUACUCUGCAUUUUUCUAUCGAACCGCUAGGGCGGGGAUCAUGUUCCAUGCACAAUUCCAGGAACGCACGUCACAGGAGACACGUGACGUGACGUUUCUGUGAGCUGACGUCAUCUUCUACAGUGUUUCUAUGGUAACAAUUCACGCUAUCGCUUGGCAACGAAAGGUCAUCAUCACCGUCACCCCUGACCCAGAAGUGAUGACGUCAUCAUGGACCCUCACUUCGCAAAAACUCGCGAGAACUACGGGAAAAUGUCGCGCUGAGUGUCCCUUUGGUAGAGGGAGGGGAAAGUGCCACGUGACGUCACGUGACGCCAGCGAGCGGAUCAUGGUGCAGUCAGACGGUAGAGCGACGAUGACGUGCCUGACGUCACUGUGCAGGAGGGUGACGUGAUGAUGGAUGACGAUGUGACGUGGCUGUGUGCGCUAACCUUGCGAGGUCGCACGUCACGUAAGGUCACGUCACACCCCGGAGGCUGAUCGCACAAAGCGGAGGAUGUCUCCACAUGCAACCGAGAAUUAAAGGGGAAAGAGCAGAAUUUUGAAGACAACAAGAAUACAACUGGUGCUGGCCGUGUUUCAGGAUCCUGUUGCCAAGAGUCCAGGCCGAGUCCACGACUGCCGCCAGCGGAAGUUGUCCACAGACCGGAAGUGCGCGAACUCAUCCGAGGCGAGGCUGUGCACACGAGGCUGAGGCGAGACUAUGCGUCAUAUCCGGCAGUCCCUGGCACACGGCUGUGACUUCACACCCUGUCUCAGCAACCCUCUAACUAAUUUACAGGCCUUUCUCUACUUUAGACAUUUUCUCCUCCGUGUUUCCUCAGUCUCGAGAAACCACAGGCCGCGGAAUAAGUGAACUUUUUCACCAUCGAGUAGGUCUCAAAAACUAGUGCAAUAAACCACCUGUGUUUUGAUACUUUGUUAGUUUGAACUUUUUUUUGAACUUGAACUUUGGUGAACACAUACUGCUUGUGGGCUGACGGUUAGACCCUACCCGUACUGAGCUAGGGUGGGGAAGGUAAGGGGGUAACCUCACGACCUACAGUUUACCAUCGAAAGCUGCAGGUUAUUUGAGUGAGUGAGUUUUUAACCUUUUAUACAUCAGUCUACAAAAGAAAACGAUGUAGAACCUUAGUUUUGACAAGAUCAACAAGCGCUCGCCAACAUCUGAAAGCUUUCUUCGUCGUUUGACAGCAAACCUCAGAAGAUGGCAAGAAGGAGGAAAACAAACGCAUUUCUUUUUGAAGCCGCCGGCUCGUCCUCGCUUGGAGACGUCCACUCAAGGGGCAAAUUACUCUUAAUCCGGGUAAAAUGAGAUGACCUGUGUGACCCGAUUUAUUUUUUUAUUUCGUUCGACCUUUCUAGGAAAUUGAAGAACAAAGCCAUUGAUUUGUGGAUCUUAUUUCCCAAACCUUUUGUUUGUGUUGAUGUCCUGAAAAUAGUGGGUCUGCACCAGAGCUGACACCGCACACACUCCAACAGUCGAGAGCGAGAGAGCACACAAACAAACAAACAAACAAACAAACAAACAAACAAACAAACAAACAAACAAACAAACAAGCACACACAAACACACACACACAAACUGCAUAUUUUCAACACUUACUUAUAUAAUUUUCUAUGUGUAUAUGUGAGACAUGUCUUGAGGUGUAACAAGCCGCUAAUACGGGUGUGCAGUCACUGUCAUUACAACAUUGAAUGCCACCCCGGGUGUGUUGUGAGUUGUGUCGGGUAUAUAGCAGACACCUUCCCCAGUGGGGAGGCUCCCCUGUGAAUCUGACGAUACCUCGGGGGCAAAGAAGUAAAAGUAAAACACCCACAGCUGCACGCACCCUACCAACAGCUGUCUACUGGGUGUAGACAAAUGGUAGAGGGAGUGAGGUACAAAGCCCUCCUGUCAACCGGCGCUCUAUCUAAUGAGGUGGUCAGCACACCUGCAGACCGUGCGGCAAACUCAAACCUUGUACGUGCCGCCUGCGUGUCGUCUGCAAAUGCCACCGGGUGAGGCGCUACCCUGGUGUGGGUUGCCGCGGGGUGUAGAAGACCUAAUAUCAAGACUGUUGUACCCAGGACAUGCUACUCUUGCUCUUUGGCUUCAAAGGCCGAACUUGUCGUCUGCCUGGGUGUGACGUCAUGUCCCCACAGAGGGCGCCACACGUGACCUUCUCAUCACAAGAUUGGGCCGGCAGGGAUGCAGCAUCCAAACGGGUGGUGUAUGCACCCGGCAUGGACUUGAAGACCAGGACCUGAAUAGAAAAAAAGGUAUUAAAAGUAUGAAGCAUACAUCAAAGGUUUUCAUGGCAACGGGCUCAAUCACUGACAAGCAGAAAGGGCCAACAGAACAAGUUCUUUCACUUUUUCCAUCAUCACCACCACCUCAUUAACCUACCACAAUCACUAACAUUAACGCCAUGCGCGGCGGACAACACUACCCAUUGGUCAGUUGUGACCUCUGCAACAACAGGGGUCAUCGGACUUCUGU